AAAGAGUGAGUGAACUGAGAGAAAUUCGAGGAAAUUUAGUUUGUCGAGCUUCUCGUGGAGGCAGUACUAUUGUUUAGUACUCAAACUUUCUCGGGAGCUUUGAGAUAUGGUGUUUCUUCCGUGGUUCGCUCUGCAAAUUCAUCAGAGCUAGCAAUCUGAUUUUCAAGCAACCUUCCCUAUUGGCUUCGGAUGGAUGGAGCUAGUUCAAGUUUGGCCGAGUUAACUUUAAAGUUAUAAAACAUGAUGGUAUGGAACAGUCAAGAAAUGACCAGUUCCAGUGCACUCCCAUGCAAUAUGGAUUUGGGGAACUCCAACCUGCAUCAUCCAUAGAGAACCCUGAGAGCAUUGUUAACAUGCAAAGUGAUGGAAGAACGAU
rnacentral:misc_RNA from 1 species